rnacentral:lncRNA from 1 species
ACUGGAUCUUUGGACUAUAUUGCACUAUGCUGAUCAGGUGUCCGCACUAAGUUCGGCAUCAGUAUGGUGACCUCCCAGGAGUGCGGGACCACCAGGUUGUCUAACGACGGGUGAACUGGCCCAGGUCAGAAGCGAAGCAAGCCAAAACUACCAUGCUGAUCAGUAGUGGAAUCAUGCCUGUAAAUAGCCACUGCACUCCAGCCUGGGCAAACAUAGCGAGACCCCGUCUCUAAAA